ACUCUCUGCUUUCUUUCUCUUUUCUUUUUUUAUUUUCCUCUCUUGUCCUCACUGAUAUCAUUCUGUGCUUUCAAUCCUCAUAUGAAUCUUAUCAAAUUUGCCGCCCCUCUUGAAUCUGUUGUUGAUGUGAUGGUGUUUUCCGAUUGGCUAACUUAGCAAUUUGAUAGAUCAAUUUCACUCAAAAGGAGCAAUUUUGCCAGUUUUCCCACUGUUUACUUUCGCAGUUUAGCAGAGCGUCCCUUUUCAAUAGGACCGGGGAAGACGUCACUCUUCCUAGCUUGGCUUGCUGGUAGCUCUCUCCCACUUGGGUUGGGAGUAUAUAGGGUUUUGAUUUUGUUGGUUUCUGUAGAUCUGGAGACAAAGUGAGCGCUUGUUUGAAGAUCUGUGGAGCUUGUAUUGGUUGGUUUGAGCCACGCCACUUGCUGAUGAUAGUGGUUGCCCUCCUUUAGGAGGGUUCUUUAUAUUUGUGGUAAUGGGUAUCACGGGAUAUUAAGCUAGUCUCAUUCAGUGCUGACACCCCUUUUAGGGUAUAUGAGACUAAAGGCCGUGACUUAUCAGCCAUUAACCCGUUUGAUGGUUGUUGUUGCUAGUGGCGUUUUGUUGACUCUAGAGGUUUAGAGUUUGGCUGGGUUCGAGUUUAAGGUGGUGGCUCUAGUAAGGAGACAGUUUCUCUUGUUUGUUGUGGAAACUUCCUUCUCGUCCCUUCCUGUUGUUUCGCUCCAGCUCCAACUGCUAGAAGAAUCGCCCGCGCUGCAAGGGUUUCGAGUGCUUAGUUAUCUGGUCUUCUAGAGUUAUGUUUUCUAGGUUUGGGGUUGUUUUGUAUGGGCUAGUCUUAGGCUUUUUAGCCUAAUAUUUGCUGACCUCUUAUAUUUUAGCCCUUAAACCUUGUAAAUAAAUAAAUGUAAAAACACUGUAAAAAAAAAAAGGUCUGAAAGUUUUAGUUGCA